UACGAAGGGGCUAGCGUUGCUCGGAAUCACUGGGCGUAAAGCGCACGUAGGCGGGUCGUUAAGUCAGAGGUGAAAGCCCUGGAGCUCAACUCCAGAACUGCCUUUGAUACUGGCGACCUCGAGUUCGAGAGAGGUUGGUGGAACUCCGAGUGUAGAGGUGAAAUUCGUAGAUAUUCGGAAGAACACCAGUGGCGAAGGCGGCCAACUGGCUCGAUACUGACGCUGAGGUGCGAAAGCGUGGGAGCAAACAGG
rnacentral:rRNA from 1 species